GCGCGGGCUUAGUGGUGAGUGUUGAGCCGGGUUCGAUUCCCGGCCCGCGCA
rnacentral:tRNA from 1 species